rnacentral:misc_RNA from 1 species
UUUCACAAAAAUUGCAUUUAUCGGAAGAAAGGUAAGUGUGUUUUUUAUGUUUGAAUUUUACAUAGUGAAUCUGGAAAAAGCUGAUUCCAAUCCACAAACAAAUACACUAUACUCACAGAUUCCAUCCUCUUUGCCAAGCAUUACAACAAAAAGAAUUUGAAGAAUGAUUAUAACACCCCAAACAAAUAAAGACUGAAACGGAAUAUCAUCAAAGUGAUACAACAAAGGCUUCCAAAUACAAUUUAUCUUCAGCAACAGAGGGGACAGAUUAUUAGACCAUUUUCAUUACAAUCCUGGCAUUUCCUUGACAUUCCGUCAUCUUCAACAAUCCUAUGGCUUCCACUGCAAUUGAAACAAACCACAAAUUUGAAACCUGCACAUCCUUCACAGGGCCCUGUAGAUUUAUCUAUUGGAACUCCUUCAAAAAGUACUCUAAACUUUCCUUGUUCAUGUAACCUCAAAACCUCCUCUGCACCACCUAUGUAUCUUCCCCUAAUGAAAAGUCUUGGGGGCUUUACUUUACCUUCCAAAACUCUCCAUAGCUCCUCCUUAAAUUCCAUGUGCAUUGACACAUCUCUCUCGCAGAAGAUCACCCGGAAACUCUCUAAAAGAAAGCGAAUGCUGUUGCAUUCCUCGAAAGUUUUUCGUAUUCCUCUAAGCGUUGUUGUGUAGAGAAUUACAGAGUCACUAUCUCCUGGAGGGCACUUCUCUUCAAAGCUUAAUAAAGGGUUUUCUUCUUCUUCUUCUUCUU